rnacentral:tRNA from 1 species
UUCUUCGUGGUGUAGUGGUCAGCACGCUCGAUGCGUAACCGAGAGGUCCGUAGUUCGAUUCCCGGCGAGGGCA